rnacentral:rRNA from 1 species
UAGGGAAUCUUCCGCAAUGGACGCAAGUCUGACGGAGCAACGCCGCGUGAGUGAAGAAGGAUUUCGGUUCGUAAAACUCUGUUGUUAGAGAAGAACAGCGCAUAGAGUAACUGUUAUGCGUGUGACGGUAUCUAACCAGAAAGCCACGGCUAACUACGUGCCAGCAGCCGCGGUAAUACGUAGGUGGCAAGCGUUGUCCGGAUUUAUUGGGCGUAAAGCGAGCGCAGGCGGUCAAUUAAGUCUGAUGGGAAAGCCCCCGGCUCAACCGGGGAGGGUCAUUGGAAACUGGUUGACUUGAGUGCAGAAGAGGAGAGUGGAAUUCCAGGUGUAGCGGUGAAAUGCGUAGAUAUAUGGAGGAACACCAGUGGCGAAGGCGACUCUCUGGUCUGUAACUGACGCUGAGGCUCGAAAGCGUGGGGAGCGAACAGG